GAUACUUCAGACUUCAGAUGCUAAUUUUAAGAUAAAAAACAAACAAACAACAAAUAUAACAAAAGAUUAGUUGUUUAGCAUAAAAUAAGGACAGGUGCGUGUUAAAGCUGUGCUAGUGCAGUGUCAACAAGUCCAGAGGCUCAGUAAGUUCACUGGGCUAAGAGGCAAAGUGAUAAGGUCUAUGUGUUAUCGCUUCCCUUUUUUUCCACACUUUGGUGAUGCUGCCACUGCCGCUAGGCAGAGAGGUCAAAUGUACAUAAGCCAAUCAGCUUUUUCAAUUUUUCCAUCGAAAGCAACACAUUGAGUUGGUGCGAUAUGGACAUGCUUAGGAGGACAGAGGGUGAAGGCACACAGAGACAACAGAGGAAGUGAAACACCAUCUCAGAUAAGCCAGAUUAACCGGGGUUUUCAUCGAAGCGACACCAGCUCUCGGUUUUUAAACACAUGUCUCGUGCAUACUCAGAUGCUACGGCGUUUGAGGAGCUAGACUGAAAUAAAAACAGCUGGACAAUCUGGUGCCUAAUACUAGCCAGCAAAUCCAGGAAAGCGAGCAUGCGUCUGUAGUUCUUCCUCUAGAGAGGAUUGAAAUGAGCAGGAGUGAAAUGAGCAGAGGAGUGCUACAAAACUGCAAGAAAAAGUGGGGAAACGCAAGCGACCCAAGCGACAAGGGUGAUCUGGACUAGAGGAAGAGGGGGUGAGCGCUAGGAGGCCUGGGGAUGGGUGAGGUGGUUCGAGGAGGGGCGAGGCCAGGCGUGCCAUUCCAUUCCUGCCUGCACUGGCUUAUUCUAUUCCUAGAGUGUGGUAUAUGGCAGUUGAUGUGGCUUUCGUCUUAGCUGCCUUGAAGAUGACUGGGCCCUUACCACAUCCACAUUCACACACAGACACACACACAUGCUCGAAACACACUCACAAAGUGGCAAAUGUGUUCACAUAUACACCAUGUAGUACACACAAAUGUAUACACACACACACACACACACACACACACACACACACACACACACACACACAUACACAAAGAGGAACUGAAUCAUUACCCUGCUUUAGCCUCAAAGUAGGGGGUGACCACUGUACAAGUAUGUGUGUGUAUUUUGUGCAAGCACGAGAGUUGCAGUUCUACAGUGAGCGACACUGGUUCACUGGUAGUGUGCAUGUGCUCGUGUUGUUGCUCAAGUAUGUGUGGGCAUGUGUGUGUGGGUGGGUGUGUAGGAUGUGUGAGCUGGGUGUGGAUGCAUUCCCUCCCUCGCUCUCUCUCUUGCUCUUUCUGCACGUGUGUGCGUGUGCAAUACGUCCAGCACUCCAUCUUUAAAGUCCCCUACUGUUCCAGCGCUGGGCUUAUUAUCUACAGUUGCUCUUCCAACAAAAACAAAAAAACAAAACCAGAAAAAAACCAGCCUGGAACUGUAUCAGUUUAUUUUUGAAUACUAAGAUUUGGAUAGAAAAAUUGAUGGUAGAGAAAAUUGGACUUUAGAAGCGCAAGCACAUAUUUUACUUUUUCUCACUGAAGGCUAUCAGCUGUCAGUGCAAGAAGAGAAUUUGUGGACACUGUUUUCUUGCAGGAACUUUUGCACAGACUAAAAUUCAAGAGUUUAGAUUAAAAUUUUAAAAAAGGAAAAAAACAAACAAAAAACAGUCCACUUAAUCUUUUAACAUCUACCAGGUCACCUGCAAACCAUUGAGCAUUAAGGGUUCUAGGCUGCUUUUAGUUGCACAGCAAAUGCACACGAUUUCAGAAACUAGUUUUUGUUAAGUUUUUGUUUUUCGAAAGUCUCCUACAUGGAUUUCAGCCCUCUACUCCAUCUGUUAUUAUUCCAUCUGUGUAUGCCAAAAUAGGUGAAAAUCCAUCAUUCGAACUUAAAGUGUAACUCUACCCCGAACAGACUGCUGACAACCUGGUGAGUGUGAAGAAGUUCAUACUUAGCUUGUUCCCAUACAGCCUCGGCAAUUUCGUUGGGUUCACAAAGUGAACAUUGCACCAAUCACUUUGCUUUCAGUCACACAAAGAGAUGCUUAGACUACAAGAUGAGACGAGCCUGUAAUGCAGUGCUCACCAACUGCUUGCCACCAAUUAAGCAGCCGUUCCAUGAGGCCUGCUGCCAAUCAGAUAUUAGUUCCAAUAGACCCCAGCCUGAGAGUCUAAUUGGUUAUGAUGGGGGAGUGAGAGCUUCCAACCAAAGAGAGGAAGCCAGUAACUCAGAUUCGGUGGCGACAGAGGUUAUGGAAGCUCUGUCUUUGCUGCCACCUCUGUUCGCCAUCCAAAGUCAUUCCCUGUUCCAGAAUAUUUUCCUGCUAUCCUGUAUCCAUGCUGCUAAAGUCACUUUCCCCGCCACCCUUUCCUUUCUCUCCCUCUCACUUUCUAUCCUUACUAUAAAUUGUGAAGAUAAAACAGGCCUUUACUUGUAAAGCUAUCCCAAAUGGUUCCUUUGGGUGCUGCUAGGUGGCUGUCGGUCGAGUUGCACACUGAAUCCAGACCUUUAGACUGAACAGCCAAAGAACCUCUCCAGAGGGAGCCCCAGCCUCAAAUAUACAGCUUGUACCCCAAACCCAGGCUCAGCCCCCCGGCCUACAGAGAGGGAUGUCUGCAAGCUCUUCGAGGGGGCUGGACUGAUGGGAAAGACCUGGCGAGAUGACCAAGGAAAGCUAACUACCUCCUCGAGCUGCUUUAUGAAGGUUUGGCAAAUGUGCAGGGAGCACAGAAAGAAGGGAGCCGAAAGGAAAGGAAGGCAAAAGGAAAAAAGUAUAGAGAAGGAAUGGAAUGGAUGAAAGGUCUCCCAUUGUCCAAAAUCAGUGUGAGGGUACUUUGCUUUGUCGGGUCACAGGGUUUAAGCAGGACCAGCGCUGAACCCUGGCAAACAUAGCCAUAAAUCUGCUUCAUUAGUGCCAACAUAAGGCAAAGCAGAGGCUAUAAUGUAAUAAUGUAAGCUCUGUCUGCAAGAGGCACAACCCGGCUACUGAUACCUCCACUACCUCCACCCUGAAUACUAACGCACGUUUUGACAAAUAGCCCAAAGAGACCGAAGGUAGAUAAGUCAGUCGUGGAAAGUUUGAUUUUUAGCAGAUAAUCAGAAAGUCUGGCUGUUGUUGUUGGGAAAAUUGUUGAGCCCACUGUGUGUCUUCUUUUAAUCAAGAGUUUCAUUCUUACUUUAAUAAUCCUGCUGAUACACAGGGAUUUCAUUCUGCUCUCUUGAGUGUUGUAUGCAGCUUGUCUAAUAGCAACAUGACCACAGUUCCUUCUUGACGUCGUCCUACUGAAGCCACUUUGAAUAAUCAGCCAAGCUGAGUCAUUGUGCUAACUGAUUACCUUUGGAAAACAAAAGGAACACCUUAAAAACGCAGCUCUGCGGGCCUUGCCCAUUGAUCCUGGUUUUCCAUGACGUGCAUCCGUCUCUACAGCCUCUUUCUUGCACGCGCACGCACGCACGCACACACACUCACAUUGCGACUUAUUGGAAUUCAGUGAGGCCCAGGUAGGGGAAGCUUUGCCCAUAUAUGUGCAAAGGAGGAAACAGGCCAGGUGUGUGUGGUUAGUACACGUUGGAACGUUCUUGAACACACACACACACACACACACACACACACAAAAGAAAUGCACACAAGACGUAUGCAAACACACAAAAUCUCUAACGGGCUUUUUCUGUUGUGCAUGCACACACGGUGCUUUGAGCCCUACGACAUCUAAGUUAUCUAGCUAAGCUCUUAACGCUACAAUCUGCCUGUGAAUGACAGACUUGUGUAAUUGAGCUGUUGAUGUAUAAACAAAGACGAGUCAUGCGAAAAGGAAAGUAGGGAAAAGAAAAAGGAGAAAUGAGUCAAGUCAUAGUUAAGAUUGCUCUUGCGCCGCUUAACCCAGUUUCAGUUACAUAACUCCUGUCAGUGUUGGAAUAACUAUGGUAUGUCACAACGCCUCACUUCCCGACACCAGCCGCUAUGAAUGCAGUUCAAAGUAAAGCCUGCCACAGGUGACUUAAGUCCUAAGUUCCUCCAGCCAUCUGCCACCUGUCAUUAUGCGGUCCACGUUUGCCCCCCCUCCACUCAACGUCACAAGCACAUUGUUCAUGACAUUAAGUGUAGCCGUUAUAUCCUUUUGUUGUCAAGUUAAGUGUGGUGGAAUAAACAGAAAAGCUGCUUUUAUCACUACCCUGUAGAUAUGUGACCAUUCCACAGCAGUUUGUCAGGAUGACACCUUUCUAAUUAACUUAACCUGCUUGCUUGAGGUCCUUUUCAGUACAUUAAAAACAAAAUUCUUACAUUUAAAACUCGCAAAGAAUAAAUAUUUGGUAUUAAAAAAAUUCCCGCAUGUUUAUCUUUGACCAUAAACCUUUAUUCAUAUAUCUUUUAUUUCCACUAGUUAAUAACCAAAUAAAAGUAAUAUAAAAAUAAACUGGUCUUACUCAUUUUUAUUGGUAUUAACUCUGCAUCUCUACAUUAUGUUAUAUGUAGUUAUGUCCUUGACCUAAAAAAGUAACACAUGUCAAUAUAUUCAUUUUUUAUGGGUUAAAUCUGCUCAGCCAGUCAUGGCCUUUUAAAAAGAUUUAAAUCUAUUUAGAAAUUGAAAGUUUAACCAUUCUGUUGAAUAGUUCAGUUUAGUUAGAUUGACUGAGCUUUAUAAUGCUGCAUCACUGCCAAGGUUGAAAUUAGGUUUAGUGAAAGGUUUGUAGAUGACUCGCUGACACCUUGCUGUUUUUUCAAACCACUUUUAUUUGGUUGUUAAAUGGUUGUAAUCUAAUAGCCCCUAAAAUGUCUACUCAUGCCAGUAAUACAGUGCAGCAAAUAAGUGUAUGAUGCAGAUGUAGAUUUCUCACCUUUUUUGGAACCAAAUCUCAAUGUUGCUUUGACAUCUGGAAAAUUAUCUUAAUCAACGUCUAGGAAACUGCUACAACAUGCCCUGGAUUUGUAUACGUGACAAAAAAAAAUGUGCUCUCCUUUUCUUAUUAUCCAAAAACCAAGUCAUUUACGUUUGCCUAUAGAAGCUGCAGAAAGGUGGUGGCUUGAGAUGGUUAGCUGCUUAUUGCCAAGUAGCACAGAGCAGGGUUCACCAUGUAGGCAGGGUGAUAAGACAAAAGGGCAGAUUCCAUGCUAAUCUGCACUUGGGAAUUUAAUCUUCCUCAUCAAGAUACCUGCGAUGCAUCUCGCCGCCAAUCUCUUUUCUAUCGUGCACUCAUGCCGGAAACGCUGCCCCAAUAAGUGCCGACAGAUCCUCGCGCACCAACGUGACAAUUCCUUAUCACCACUCCUCACUCUUUCUCUCCGUCUCGCUAUCACGCCUCCUGAUAAACCAUAAACUAAAGUGGGGACGGAGGAGUGUAGGAACUGCAGUAAGCUCAAGGAGUGGCCAUUAUUGUGUCGCAGUAAAACAAAGGGUGUGCAUGUCCGUCUGUAGGGUUGGCUUCUUGCAGGCACCGGCAUGGUAACGUGGUUAUGGUCCACACACAUACAGACACACACACACACACACACACACACACACAGAGGUCACCCUGAUAAAUUAUUUUCCUGUUUGUUUCCUGAGAACGGCCUCUUAUUAUCUCAUCAUCUUGAUGAGAUUGACAGAUCGAUAGCAUGACUUCCUUUUUUGUUGAAAUUCUUUAAGCGGAAAUCUAAAAGUGUAGACGGCCACAAAAUAAACCCCCCGAAAGUGAGUCAUGAGGGAGCAUUAUUACGUGUUAAUGCUGGAAACUUUCCCUCUUAUUACAUGACAAGUAAGAGUAAUGAUAGCUGGAAGGAGCAUUAUGUUAGUCAGAGAGAGUGGGAGACAAUUUGAAGAACAACAGCUGGGCAGAGAGCCACAACUCUUAAAAAAAAAAAGAAGAUGAAGAAAAGAAAAAAAAAAAGCCCACUGCUUCAAGACACACACCCCUCUGUUCAGAUUGUGACUAAGCCCGCUUAGGCAAACACAUGUCACCCACAACCACUAGCACUGAUUCACACGACUCCUUAAAACACUCUCUCUGUGUCUCACACAGAUCAAUACAUAUACACACAUGCGGCGGCGGCAGCGCUUUAAGAGGUGGUAACCAGGAGGGACAGCGGCGACAGCGUAGGGGAGAAUGACUCCAGGGUGCCGGCUCUGCAGUCAUCAGACGUCACUCCUUUGUAGCCAAUCAUGUCAGCUGCCUGCCAUGUCCAUUCAUAAAGAAGCCACAUGCUCGCUGUCCAUGCUGUAUGAUAUUUUAUCCACACCCCACCUCCCGCUCCACCACCAACGCCACCGCUUCCACCUCCACCCCACCCCAGACGCUCACUUCAUUCAUGCCUUCUGCUGCAGAGCAAAAGGACUGUGCUAUCUGUGUCAGUUGAAGGGGGGGGGGCACACACACACAGCGUGACUGAAACAGAGAGGAAGUGGUGCUUCUGUAUUUAAAAAUGGCCUAUUGACCACAAAGACCUAUUUUAAUCACAAGACUUCAUAUCAGCGUUGCCUUCAACAGACUAUGUCUGGUAUAUUACCGCAGCACUGAUGAUAGCACAUACAUUGUGCUUCCCAUCUAAUCAUGGCUGCGCGACUGUAAGUCAGCCUCAGAGCAGAGUCAAACAAAUCGGCUGUGUGACAGUGAAUCAGCUCCUCUGUAACGCGAUCGCAGCGCUGGGGACGCUUACGCCGCUGCUAGUGACCAUUCAAACUCGGAGCAAUUCGAGACAAGCUGAAGGUGACCCAUCACCACCUUCAAAACAAAGCAAAAUUGAACAGAAAGAAAAAUCAGAGCACAACUUCACUACUUCAGGCUGUGUGAGAGUUUGCCGACAGCCUACAGACUGCUUUUCCUCUCCGCCUAUUAAGGAUCUGGGAGCAGUUUCUCAACCUUAACUUGUAACAUAUGAUAUCCAUCAACAGCAGCAGCAGCAGCAGCUCCUCUACUUUCUGGGAAUCUUUUCCCUUUCUUUUCUUUUUUCUUUCUUUUUUCACUUACCCGUCUGGGUGAGAGUAGUGUUUCCUCCCAGCGCUGAGUUUGGAAUGAGGGAACCCCCCCACAUACGCACACCCCCUUCCCUCAACCUCCACUCGAAUUUCUUCUUCUCUGGUGUCUUUUCUUUAAGUUUUUCCCAGUGUUUCUGGGCGUCCUCUUGCUCUGUCUCUGCUUCAAAGAGGGAUUCCGGGUUCCCUUUCACUUUGACUUUGCUUGGUCCAACAGAGAGUGAAAGAGAGAGAGAGAGAGGGAGGGAGAGACGAUGUUGGGUAACGGUGUCUCACCCACGUCACUGCCCAGGACCGUGAGGGCAAGUCACAUAAAGCUCGCCAUAGCUCAGCUUCUGAGAGAUUUCAUCCUUACAUGUCUCCUCAUCUGUUUCCCUGUCUUUUUAGCCUCCUCCCGUUGCAUUCUUCUGAGUGUAAUCAGUAACAGGCUUAAAGUGACAGCAGCAGCACUGAAAAACCGGCUCUCUCACUCACACACAGAAGCACACACUUUCACGUACGCACAAAAAGACACACACACACACACACACACACACACAGACAGUUUGUGAGGCUCCCUCUGGGCUAAAGGUGCUUUCCCAGAGCUCUGGAGACACUACAGCCGUUAAACUCCCUCUAAGCCCCGCCAAAGUUGCACUAUCACAUGUUUCACAGCAGUCUAUCUCUCUCUCUCUCUCUCUCUCUCUCUCUCACCUCCUUCCUUUUCUCUUACCCUUCACCCUCCCCUUCUCUCCCUCAACCCCUUGACUGACACUGUCGGACAUACUCGCUCACACACACUCACAGGACUGCUGCUUGUCCCUCUCUUAUACAUAGCCUUUAGAGGGGGCUGAGCCUAAAGCAGUGUCCUGUUACAGCUCUCAAUUGAGGUUAGGGAGAGGACAUCCAUUCAGAAAAAAGAGAGGAGGGAAGAAGGAGGGGGAGAGGGAGGAGGAAAAAAACUUAAGGGUAGCCUCUCUGUCUCUCUCUCUCUGUGUAUGUGUGUGUGUGGUGGGGUCUUCAAAAGCAGGAAACUCCCCCGCUAGAGAGUUGAGACUUCUAUAAAAAAAAAAGAAAAAGAAAAAAAAGGACUGCUUCUCAUAUAGUGCUUUGUUACUCGAGCACUUUAUACUACAUGUAUCAGUCACUCAUUCAUACAAGCGCUUUUUAAAAUGCCAAAGUGCUCUCUAUCUAACUUUCACACUGGAAGCCAUUCAGGUGAUUGAACCUCCCGCUCUACCUCCUGAGCCAUAGCCACCCUGAACUGAAUAUGAAAUAAGGCAACACACACAAAAACAACAGCUACAGUCUUUGUGACUUCCAGCCUACAUUCUCCACCCAUAAGGACAUACACCCACAUAAACAAAUGCUAUAUAUGUGCAUCGUAUCUCGACAGAUUUCAUGCGCCACAUUUGAAGAUGGAACUAACAGAUGGGCUGCUGAUUGAGACCACAAAGAGAAAGUACCAGAGUUUACAGAACCGGACGGACUCAUAAACAAGCGAGUAACCACAUGAUGGCCACAGCUACUAAGAAGAAAGUACCCAAGUUCACAGGUUAAAAAAAAGAAGAAAAAGAAAACAGGGGGCAGGAAUGGAUGAUAACAGUUCCUGGGGAGACUGUGAUAUAUUAAAUUUACAGGAGUCUUUGGCACCUUUUGUCCCCCUGAUCUGAAACUUUUGACCCGAAGCUGCCCUCGACCUCAGUCAACCCCCCUUGGUUUCUACCUCCCUCCUUGGAGCUCGCUUUCUCACCUACAUCCUGCUAUUUUACCCCAACUUCUGCCAACCACACCUAUGAACCAUCGCCACCCUGCCCCACCCUCAGCUUCCAUCCUCCUCCUCCCUGCUCGUGUGUAUGGGGUAAGAGUGGGUUGAAUGGGAGUCUCGAACUGAAGGAAUCACAUAGUUGGUUUGUUACUCACACAGGAGGCCAUGUGACUCACCAAAGGCCAUGCUGCACCCAUGCUACGCUCCCGUUACACAUAUUGUGGUACGGAAACACGCACACACGUUUUAGUGGAGCCGGAUAAAUGCCUUUGUCAGACCUCAUUCAUAACUAUUUAAAUAACCUCUGUGAGUCACAUAACAAGUAGGGUUAAGUAAUAUUUGACCUAUAUACACACAUUUCGGCAUUAAAGCCCUUAAGUGCAAUCUCAGGGGAACUUGCAACCUAUUGUUUUUUUGUAUGUACAAGAAUGCCACUGAUUACCUGACCUGACUGUCCUGAGGAGGUAAAGCUCUAUCACGUUAUAAAAGAAGCGCAGGAAAGUUUCUCACCUCAGUGAUGAUGUGAGUGGGAUCCCAGCUUCCUGUGAGCUGUGACAGCAUCAGUUGGCUCUCCUGUUUGGGACACAGUUUAACCUAGUAUGAGGGAUUGUUUGUGUAUGUCUUGUUGUUUCGGUGUGUUCUCUUGUAUACACGUGUACACUGUAUAAUUUCAUGCUACCUGCCCAGGGACUGUUGACGCAAGUCAGCAUUAGUGCUUAAAAGAUUUGGUUGUAUAUUUUUUUUAGAACAAUGUCCAUUAAAACACAGAGAUUCAGUCAAAUAAAAAGGGAGUUUUAAAGGGCUUAUAAAUAAAGCUUUCAUGAGAAAUAUUAUAUAAGAUUUUUUGUUUUUAGCCUAAAUUUAUAUUUCUAGUGUUUACAAACUACAUUUCCAUCCAGUGUCUUUGGACCUCAGGAGCUAACAUCAAAGACAUCGUCGCAUAUAGCUUUGCUUGUCGCGCGGAGAGAGUGAGUGGGUGAAGGCUGAAUAACAGCUCUCUCCGUGUGUGAAUGGGUAUCUGUAUGCACUUUGCUGUGUUCAACGGGUGCCGCUGAGCCUCGGCAUCAGGCUGUGCUCAAGCCAGGGAUGACUCAGGGUGAGAGCGGCUAAAUGACUCCAGACCUGCCGACAAACUGCGGCAUGAAUGUGCGCGGGUCGAGUCACCGGGGGGAUUUAAAUGGGAGCUCUGUGCGCUUGCCUGGUUUGUUUUUGUUUCGUUCUGUUUGAAAUAGCUUUGUUAAUUUUCUCUCGUGUAUUCCUGUGUGGAGCUAUUUCGGGUCGACCAUUUGAUACGGUGUGCACUGUUACCUGCCAAAAGCAGCGAUCUGACAGAUUAUUCCUGAUCUUGUUAUUCAGAUGCUCUGCAAGCCAGCGAUUAUGAGUCACUGAGAGGGAAAUGAUUUCUUUUUUUCUUUCUUUUUUCCCUAACAAGUGGGUAAUUUAUAGUUAAAAUGAAAAGAGUACAACGGUCUGGCUUUAGCAAAUGAUGAAUCUGCAAUUAUUGAUCCUAAAAAAAAUUUAUAAUAACACAAAACCAAAAAGGAGUCAGAUAAACAUGAGACUGAACAUAUUUUCUUCUAAAUGAUCUUAUCAGAAAAUAUGAAGAAAACUGUUCUGUUUUGCAGUUAAUUCACGUGUGAAAGGCAGCAAAUUAAUUAGCGUGUGUGCUGAUGAAAUUCACAUGAUGUGAGUCUCAGUUUGACAUUAAAGGGUUUCUGCUAAAGAGCAAAGUUUCUCAGUAACUAAGAGGUUUGCCAUUUUAGAAUGUGACUCAGUCUAUUGUGGGCACAAAGUGAGCACCGCCUGCUCGCUUUCUUUGGGUGGAUACAAGGGCGGAGAUGUGUUUCAACACACAUGCACAGCACAGGCGGAGGCCUUUCCUUCAUGUAGUCACAGACACACACGUACCCCCCCUCCACACACACACACACACACACACACACACACAAACACACACAAUGGAGAUUGCAGUGGAAAGGAAACUGGGGAUUCCUAAGAUUCCUGUGGACAAAAAAGGUGUGAACUCAGGCGGCCGAGCAGCCUGGGAAUUCUGCUGGGUUGACUUGAGAAGUUAAAUGGCUGACCAGAGUUAGUGGUGACACACAGACAGACAGAGAUAAAGAAGAGCUGGAGAGAUAAAGUGAAGGAAUUCAAACAGCAGGAGAGAGACGAGAAUGUGGAGAGAAUGCAAGAGAAAAUAUUGAAAUGGUAAAAUGGGUCAGCGGGGCUGUGUCUUUACAAGUAACUAUACCAGUGCUUAAUGAUUUACAUGAAAAACUAACGCUGUUCUUCUGCAGUCUGAUGUGAAACAGAGUAGUCAGAGAAUAAUGGCACAAGCAACAUACAGAAUUUUGCCUAUUUCAAGAAAAUCAAACUGUGUGUGUUUGUGUUUUCAAUGGUUUCAAAUACUUUCUUAUCCACCUUGUCUUAGCUGCAGUGGCGUUUUAUUCAUCCUACCCAAGUAAACAGGGUCAGAGAGAUAGCAGUGAUAGAGGUUGGGUGGGGGAGACACAAAGACCAGCAGUGAGAAGACCUACAGUAAGUUUCCACGGUGCUGCUCAGAGUAGUUUUAAGACAUGACAGUUCAAAAAAAAGUUCACUUGUGGAGGAUUUUCUUUCAGCUGGGUUGAAGUGAAUAAACAGAUUGGCUGUCCAUAACAACAACAACAAAAAAAGAAAACGCUUAAAAAGAAAAAGUGAGCAGCAAAUAAAAGCAAAAAAACCCAAAACAGCUAGAAACUGUGUUUCAGAGAAGUAGGGAAAAGGUCAGCAAGACAAAUAGAACGUGCUAGAUAUUUCCACAGACGUGUCAGAACAUCUAGAGAAUGUCUCCAAUGCCCCAAAUUCUUGUGAGCACUGAAAGUUCUUUCUCAAGUGACAUUCCACAUAGCCAGAGAAAGUUUGAAUUAUAAAAGCACAAACUGUCUCUCUCUCUCUCUCUCUCUCUCUCACACACACAUGCACACGCUCACACAAUAUGUCACAGAUGCACCUGUCUGUGCCAAGGCAGAAACUCCCAGCCAUUGAUAGACAAGAACAGACGUAACAGUGACGUCAUCUCAUUCACUAACCCGGCACACAAAGACACACCUCUGAAGAAACGCACGCUUGCAACCAACCAAGGACAGGAGAUGGAAAUAUGGCAAUCAGACUCCCUCCCCCACCAGCCUAGUGUAGUGUGUGUGUGUUCUGCACUGACUAUAUUAGGCCCGUCAGUUUCUAGCAUGGGGAGACGGUGAACACGCAGAUACAACUGUGAUGUCACAGUCACGCUGGAGAGGCAUGACUCUACAUCUUAUCUCUCAUCACGGUGCUUGUUCUGCAUUGCUCUCCACUGCCCUGCAGUGACGCGCGUGUCUGUUUGUGUAUGUGUGCGCGCGUGUGUGUGUGUGUGUGUGCGCUCGCACUUAUUACCCUGUGAUAACCCUGGGCGUUAGUGACAUGCAGGGAUAUCACAGCAGCUCUAGUGUUACACAAGCACCUCUGAGCUCAGGUGAAACACGCGGAGCAAACAUUUUGACAAUACUUGAAGUUUCCAUUACUAGUGCAAGUCUCUGUAAUUGCAUCAUACACGCAUGCUUCUAUUGUGACACGAUGCAUAACUAUUAGGUUGAGCUAUAUAAAGUAAUAGCUGCCAUAACGAUAGUGUUAGUAACAUAGUAUUAAAAAAUAAUUUUUGCUUAUUUUUUUUUAACUUUAGGUGAUACUUUUUAAACAUUUUAUUUCCAAAGUAAAUUCAGUUUUGAGCUCGUUGUAUUAUCCUUUCAUGUUUUACAUUUGUUCAGCCUGACCCCCCCCCCACAGAAAAAAAGUCUAUUUACAUUAUGUUUAUUUACAUGCACUGCUCACAUAAAUGUACUCCAUUAAUAGUUCAGUGCUAAUUUUUGACAGCUAAGACAACUUGAAAAAGAAAACACAGCAAUGUUAAGUUUUAUUAAGUCAAAGAUACUCAUUUUAAGCUCCACAGUCCAAAGCACGCCCACCAGAGAUGGUUCCACCUCUGUUUAAUAUUCUACACACUCUUUCAAAUACAACAUUUGGAAGUACAUGGAGCUAAAAUCUAGUUGUGCCUAUUGCACAGAAUUAAAUAAUAUUUACCUGUGUUAUAGGCUUGUUCCUAUUCUUGUAUAAAUUAUUGUGGUUAAUAGGUCAGUUCAUAUGAAAACAAACAAUCGUGCCCUCUGAUGAAUGAAGGCUGAGUAUUUCUGCUUUGAUUAAAUGCAGUAAUAACAGUUGCACUGGCUGCAGUUUUCAUGCUCUUGUAGUAAAAUGCAUAACGUGCCUGUGACAGCAUGAUCUGAUUAGUGCAGAAAUGCAUUACUUACAUAUGCAUGAAUGUAUGCCCGCCAGCAUUGUGGUCCCUUUAACAGAACUCACUAAUGCAUAGCACUGACUCCCUCACUUACACUGCAAGACUUCCUCUCUCUAUUCCACAACCGCACAGCGUGGGUUAUACGAAGGCUGGGACGGUGCUGCAGGCUGGCCCACUCCCAGGAUAUAAGAGCAGUGAGCUCUGCCAAGGCGGUGAGGGGUCACACUGUGGAGAAUGUGCGCAUGUGUGCGUGUCACAGGAUGGCUAUGUCACACAUGAGCUCCCUCGCUUGGCGGGUGGCUGUCUGAGCAGUGACACCAACAGCGGACGCCCACAUCUUGAUGCUACAGUGCAGAUAAAGCUCUUGUGUAACAUUCCACCCCCCACUCCCACUGCUCCUACCAGCGUUUCCUGCUCUCACUUCCGUGUCCUUCCCUCCCAUUCCUCGCCUGCCUUCCUUUUUCGCCCGUCCACAUCCCUCCAGCACUUCCCACCGCCUCAUCGACUGCUGCUCCACACCCCUGGGCUGGUCCCAUAGCUGGCCCACUUACUGGUUCUACACCCCAGACUGGUGGACUCCCUCUUGGCUUCCUGGAGAACCACCUUCUAUUAUCAGAACAACCGGCCCAGCCCAGUCCUCACCGCUGCUGAGUUCACUGGGACAUUGUGGCCCUGAGAGUGGUGUCAUGAAAUCUCCUAAAAUGGAACUACAACAAUUUCAGUUUUGUUUUUAUAGCAAAACAACCGUCAUCUCAAGGUGUUUCACACUGUACCGUAAAGACUCUACAAUAUUUAUUGGAGAGAACUCCCCUGUGUGCAAGCAUUUGGUAACAGUGGGGCAGAAGAACUGCCUUUUGACAGGAUGAGACGCAGCUAGGCUGAGGGGCACUCAGCCAUCUGCUGUGACUGGGUUUUGGGGUCAAGGGAAAAAGAUGACAGAAAAUGAAAAAUUCAGAGACAACUAACAAGUCCCCUUAAAGAUCAGCUGAAGCUAAAAAAGAAGAAGAAAAAAUGAGCCCAGUUUGCAGACACCUUCCUCGAGCGCAGCGCUCCGGGAUCUAUCCGUUGCGCGUACGAGAGCACGCGAGAGGCAGAAGCUGAAACAAC